UAAUCUUUAUGUCUCCGAGUUAUUUAACCUGAAAUAGAAUUCAAUGGAUAAAUAACCGAUAGGGUAUGAGCGGAAACACUUGUACCUCCCCAUCCUGGAAAGGAGAUAGCUACGAGAAUGU
rfam:Nitrospirae bacterium RIFCSPLOW2_12_42_9 rifcsplowo2_12_sub10_scaffold_2554, whole genome shotgun sequence.